rnacentral:rRNA from 1 species
GACGAACGCUGGCGGCGUGCUUAACACAUGCAAGUCGAACGGAAAGGCCCUGCUUUUGUGGGGUGCUCGAGUGGCGAACGGGUGAGUAACACGUGAGUAACCUGCCCUUGACUUUGGGAUAACUUCAGGAAACUGGGGCUAAUACCGGAUAGGAGCUCCUGCUGCAUGGUGGGGGUUGGAAAGUUUCGGCGGUUGGGGAUGGACUCGCGGCUUAUCAGCUUGUUGGUGGGGUAGUGGCUUACCAAGGCUUUGACGGGUAGCCGGCCUGAGAGGGUGACCGGCCACAGGGGGACGGGGAUACGGCCCAGACCCCUACGGGGGGGAGGAGGGGGGAAUAUUGCAAAAGGGGCGGAAGCCUGAUGCAGCAACGCCGGGGGGGGGAUGACGGCCUUGGGGUUGUAAACCGCUUUCGCCGGGGACGAAGCGUGGGUGACGGUAAUGGGAAAAGAAGCACCGGCUAACUACGU